UACGUAGGGUGCGAGCGUUAAUCGGAAUUACUGGGCGUAAAGCGUGCGCAGGCGGCUUUGCAAGACAGAUGUGAAAUCCCCGGGCUUAACCUGGGAACUGCAUUUGUGACUGCAUGGCUGGAGUGCGGCAGAGGGGGAUGGAAUUCCGCGUGUAGCAGUGAAAUACGUAGAUAUCAGGAGGAACACCUGUGGUGUGAGACAGCU
rnacentral:rRNA from 1 species